ensembl:lincRNA
GUUUUCUAGAGAGGAUGGUCCCUCAGACGUCAGAUCCAGCAUUGCAUGUACACGAACUUCAGUGUCAUCUGUGACUAGAGUGUUGGUGCUGGCUCAUCUGUUGUACCACUCAAUUAACUACCACCUUAUCAUGUGUGACCCACUCCUUCCCAGACCUUAUCCCAGUUCUGGGAAUUACUCAAAAUUUUUGUCAGAAAUGCUUUUGCCAUGCCCAGAGAGGCCCUGCACGUCUCAGUCAGGAAGGCUCAUGGAUGUGGCCCUUGUGUAUGUGGGUUGACUGUCACAGGAGCCAUCUUAUUAGGAAGAGAAGAAUCGGUCACCAGAAAAAAUUAGCCUGGCCAGUGCCAAUAUCAGUUCAGCUUGGGCAUUGAAAAUUCGAAGCUUAAAUAUCUGCUUGAAGGAAACAUCUGCUUGACAGGAAUGUCCAUAUUUUUGGUAUAAUGAUUUAUGUAUCAAGAAAAAAUAAAAGGUAAUUCCUGAUGCUGUUUGUAUCAGAGACAGAUAUAAAAAUUUAAUAAUUAGCUGAUCUGUUUUUGGCGUCUGGCAAGUCUGAAAUCUAUAGGGCAGGCUGGCAGGCUUGAAAUUCAAGUAAGAGUUUAUGUCGUAGUAUUGAGUUGGAAUUCCACAGAAAAGCAGACUGGAAACUGAGGCAGGGCUUCUAUGUUGGAGUCCUGAGAAGAAUUUCUUCUGUAUCUAGGAUUCUCCGUCGUUUAAGGUAUUCAACUGAUUGAAUAAGGCCCACCCACAUGAUCAAGACUAAUGUGCUUUACUCAAAGUCUACUGAUAUAAGUGUUAAUCACAUCUAAAAUACACCUUCCCAGCAAAAUUAAGACUGCAGUUUAACCAGGUGACUAGGCACCAUAGCCUAGCAAAGUUGACACAUAAAAUUAACCAUCACACUGGACUUUAUAUAGGCCUGUGUUCAAACCUCCCUAGAGAUAGCUAUUCAAUCUUUAAAAUCUUUUCUGAGAAAGUUUGCCAUAGGCUUUCUUGAAUUUCAAAUUGAAUAAAAAAAUCCCACUUUAAAUAUUCAUUCUAAAGUUUAAUUUUUAAAUCCACUUGUCCUUAUACUUUCUCCAGUAGAAAUGGAUAAUAAUUGGAUUUUUUAUCUACUUCCUAUUUAAUUAACAUGCUUCUAUAAACAACUUGUAAAAUAAUCUUCUAACAGAUGACUUCUACAUGCCACAAAUGGUACUGCUUAUGUGGCUUGCAAUUUGGUUUUAAGUGCUUAGGUUUAGCGUGUUUAUUUUUAAAACAGUUUUAUUGAGAUAUAAUUGACAUACCCUACAAAUCAUCCACUUAACAUGAAUAAUUCAACUUUAGCAUUUUCAUGAGUUGUGCAACCAUCAAUACAAUCAAUUUUAGAGCAUUUUCAUCACCGCCAAAAGAAACUCUGUACCCAUUAGCAGUCGGCCACAUUUCCUCCCAACUUAUCCUCCCGACCAGCCUGGGGCAACGCUAACCUACUUUCUGUCUCUCGAAUUUGCCUAAAAAUCUGGAUACUUCAUACAAAUCGAACGAUGCAAUAUGUGGCCUUUUGUGACAUAUAAGGUUUAGUUUUAAAGUGACAACAUUGUUAAGAUCCACAAAAUAUAGACAAUUCCAGUGGAAUGACUGAGAGAAGGUAAAUGAUUAUUAUUUUUGGCCAAUUUUCUCAUCAGCUCCCCUCACCAAAAAUGAGUCACCAUCAGGGUGUGCCUAAGACACCUGAUUAUUUUGUUUCUUUGUUUAAUUUUUUUCUUAUGUUUUAACACGAUCAUGAGUUUGGUCCUUGUGCUGUGAAUUCAGGAUUAAGGUCUAAUUUUCUGAAGCAGAUGAGGCACGUUCGCUCACUGUUUCUUUUUUUUUUUUUUUUUUUUUUUUUUUAUCAAAAGGAGGUUUAUUGUCUAGCUCGAGCUAGGGUCUGAGCCCCCAGAGUGCCAGCGCAGUGGCUUCUUCUUCGGGCAAGGACCCUCACUGUUUCUUGUAACCGAGUCAAUCUCUUCCCUGAGGCCUGGAGGUGGUUUAAAAGGCCCGUGGCAUCCCAUGUGUAGCACCAACAGUCCUGCCUACCUCUGUGUCCCUGACUCUCUUUCCAUUCCUAACCUUGCUCCCUUGGCAGCUGCCUCUGGUAUGCUCUCAUUUCUGCUUUACAC